GUUUGAGGUGCCGAUCAGGACACCGCAAAAUUCAAAUCCAUAUCAUUUCAAGAUCAACCUGUCCUCCCCUCCCCUCCCAGUCCCAGCUGCCGACACAAGGGGCCAGAGAGGCCCAAGGCCAGCUACCUUCGCCUCGGUCCCUACAGGAGAUGUAGGGAUGGAGGAUGUCAAACCAAAACCACAAUGCAAGGGCAACGAUAUUUCAGCGGUCCAGCAAACAAUCAUUCCGACGCUAUAGCUCUGUACAUAGCCAGGAUCCUUUUUAAUUCAUGAGCAAGAUAGGUCAACAGCACCGCUACAUUAAAACAGCCACCACCACAAGCAACCGAGGAAGCUCUGGAUCGGGACACAAAAACCACAACAGCGAUGGACUACAGGCAAUCACGGGAGUUCUUCAAUGUUUCGACAAGUCUGGCAAGCCAGAAACACAACGGUGUUUUUUGUUCUUGCUUAUUGCACCAAUCUAGGCGCAGCC